AGCGAACGCUGGCGGUAUGCCUAACACAUGCAAGUCGAACGGCAGCACAGUAAGAGCUUGCUCUUACGGGUGGCGAGUGGCGGACGGGGGAGUUAUACAUCGGAAUCUACUUUUUCGUGGGGGAUAAUGCAGGGAAACGUACGCUAAUACCGCAUACGACCUACGGGUGAAAGCAGGGGAUCUUCUGACCUUUUGCGAUUGAAAGAGCCGAUGUCGGAGUAGCUAGUUGGCGGGGUAAAGGCCCACCAAGGCGACGAUCCGUAUCUGGUCUGAGAGGAUGAUCCGACACAUGGGAACUGAGACACGGUCCAGACUCCUACGGGAGGAAGCAGUGGGGAAUCUUAGGCGAUGGGGGCAAGCCUGAUCCAGCACUACCGCGUGGGUGCAGAACGCCUUCUGGUUGUAAAGCCCUUUUGUUGGGAGAGAAAAGCAGCAGGUUAAUACGCCGCUGUUAUGACGGUACCGAAAGAAUAAGCACCGGCUAACUCCGUG
rnacentral:rRNA from 1 species